ensembl:lncRNA
AAAAGAUCAAUGUCUUUCCUUAGAGCAUCGGAUACCUCUCCACAGAACCUCAGCUAUCAGAGCCCAGAUACCAAACCUCUCGGCAACAGAACACAACCAGACCAGGUCAACAGAACACAACCAAACCAGACCUGGUAACCUCACGGUGCGUUACAUUUCUCACGUCUGGCCUGGGAAAAGGACGAAAACAAGCCUACAUUUCCUACCUCUUCCCUAACUGGUAUACUCACUUUUGUUGUAAUAAUGGUCCAGGCAGGAUUAACACAUAAUACACUACUUUGAGAGAUUCUCACACACACACACAGAGAAUCGUGUUGUGAUUUAGUCAUGGGUAAAGAAUAAUGGCAUUAUGGUUGAAGCAGAGAAAGGUAUAAGACAGUAAACAUCAAAGCGCUUUUCUUUCCAUCUCAAACUGGGAAAUUAAAAUUAAAACAUGCCAUUAUUCUAUACAUAAUAUCUAAGUAGAUCCACUGCAAAAAACUCCACAACUAGACGUACACACACACCCGCCACCUAGGCAGACCAAUGUUUCUCCAACUAAUAAGUAUUUUCACCAAUCAGAUCAGCUCUGAAAAAGAUCUGUGAAAAGAAAUGCGAUUGCUCAAAACUAGUGGAAAAAAUAUCAAAAUUGGGCUGCCUACCCAGACAUUGAAUCCUACCUGAGGCCCAUUGAGGGCUGGUCAAUAGAAAAUAAGAACCAUGUGCUGCUGUUGGCCCACUCACCCUUCAGGCGAGCAGGAUGAAGGUCCCAUAAACACACAGGAUUUAUGGUUAUCAGACUGAAACCCAGAAACAGACCCAGAAACAGCUGGGGGUCAACCAGAACCACAAACAGACUCCAUACAUUCAUGUAAUAACUUCACAACUACCCUCCACUCUGACAGCUUGAAUAAAGCCUGUCUGUCUAUCAUAGCGGGAGAGCAAGCUAGGCCUUACACCAAUGAUCACUUUCAGAACAUCGAACAGUUCAAACUAUCGAAAGUGAAUCAAAUUGAUCCUAUUCCAUCCAGUAUUUUCACAAAAAUGUGCUUUAGUAUAAUAAACAGUGAGUGGUUAGGAGUCCACGUCUGUAUUUGAGUACUAAAUGAAAUGGUGCUCAGUUCCAAGGCUGCCUCUUCUAACAGGACAAUAAGCGGGUCUACACACAAAGACUGAAUUACACAACUAAUAAGCUAGAGGUAUGAACAAGAUGUAACUCUGAGUGAAACAGUGAUAUCCAAAUGUUGUCAAACUGGUGCUGUAAUGUUGCUUUGUGUAUUCUAAAUAAACUUGGUUUGAGGCAUGGUCUGCUAUUCACAAUAUUGUACAGACCUAAAUAAACUUGGUUUGGGGCAUGGUCUACUAUUCACAUUAUUGUACAGACCUAAAUAAACUUGGUUUGGGGCAUGG